rnacentral:RNase_P_RNA from 1 species
GAGAUCGGUCGGACGAUCGCGGAAUAGUAUCUUUCUGGUACGAAUUCGAGGAAAGUCCGGGCUCCAUUGGACAGGCUGCCAGGUAACACCUGGGCACAGGCGGCGUGAGCUGCUUACGUGACGGACAGUGCCACAGAGAACAGACCGCCACUUCGGUGGUAAGGGUGAAAAGGUGGGGUAAGAGCCCACCGCGCGCGUGGUGACAUGCGUGGCACGGCAAACCCCGGCUGGAGCAAGGCCAAAUAUGCGGCGAGGAGCGUCCACUCCGAAUAAAACGCCGCGGGUAGGCUGCUGGAGAGUGCGGGUGACCGUACUCCUAGAGAAAUGAUCGUCCGGAUCUUCGGGUCCGACAGAACCCGGCUUACAGACCGAUCGCUUGC